rnacentral:rRNA from 1 species
CGCGUAGGUAACCUGCCUGGUAGUGGGGGGUAACUAUUGGAAACGAUAGCUAAUACCGCAUAAUAACAGUUGUUGCAUGACAACUGUUUGAAAGGUGCAAUUGCAUCACUACCAGAUGGACCUGCGUUGUAUUAGCUAGUUGGUGGGGUAACGGCUCACCAAGGCGACGAUACAUAGCCGACCUGAGAGGGUGAUCGGCCACACUGGGACUGAGACACGGCCCAG